rnacentral:rRNA from 1 species
GACGAACGCUGGCGGCGUGCCUAAUACAUGCAAGUAGAACGCUGAAGGAGGAGCUUGCUCUUCUGGAUGAGUUGCGAACGGGUGAGUAACGCGUAGGUAACCUGCCUGGUAGCGGGGGAUAACUAUUGGAAACGAUAGCUAAUACCGCAUAACAGUAGAUGUUGCAUGACAUUUGCUUAAAAGGUGCAAUUGCACCACUACCAGAUGGACCUGCGUUGUAUUAGCUAGUUGGUGGGGUAACGCCUCACCAAGGCGACGAUACAUAGCCGACCUGAGAGGGGGAUCGGCCACCAUGGGAAUGAGACACGGCCCAGACCCCUUCGGGAGGCAGCAGUAGGGAAUCUUCUGAAAUGGACGGAAGUCUGACCGAGCAACGCCGCGUGAGUGAAGAAGGUUGUCGGAUCGUAAAGCUCUGUUGUAAGAGAAGAACGAGUGUGAGAGUGGAAAGUUCACACUGUGACGGUAUCUUACCAGAAAGGGACGGCUAACUACGUG